GUUUUAUAGUCACAUGCGCCUAAAAAAAAGUUAAUUUACAUUUAAUCAGGACUUGUUGGCCAUUGUCAUUGUAUGAACUGUAGAUAUGCAUACAUCCACAUCUGUAUGGAAACACGGAUCACACGUAAAAAAACACAAACCAUAAGAACCCUAUAAACCUUAUACUUUCUGUUGAGUCCAAUGUUUUGUAUUUCUUUUUCUUCUCUCUUCUGUAACUUGGAUAACAGACAUCAUUACUUGUUGGACAUUAUUUUUUCCAUCGUCAGUUAUUCAUUGUAUGACCUAGUUUUUCCUGUGUCUUAUAUGUAUGAAUCAAGUCUCAGACCUUGGC
rnacentral:misc_RNA from 1 species